UACGUAGGGGGCAAGCGUUGUCCGGAUUUAUUGGGCGUAAAGAGCUCGUAGGCGGUUCGGCAAGUCAGAUGUAAAAACUCCAGGCUCAACUUGGAGAGGCCAUCUGAUACUGCCGUGACUAGAGUCCGGUAGAGGAGCACGGAAUUCCUGGUGUAGCGGUGAAAUGCGCAGAUAUCAGGAGGAACACCAGCGGCGAAGGCGGCUCUCUGGGACGGUACUGACGCUGAGACGCGAAAGCGUGGGGAGCGAACAGG
rnacentral:rRNA from 1 species